UAAAACAUGAUGAAGAGAUGAGUAGAACCAAUUACUUAUUAAGAGAGCUUCCGGUUGGUGCAAGGGAGUUGAGUAAUAAUUCGAAGAUGGUCUCUGAAUGAUGUGUUGAUGAGGAAAUUCUAAGUUAACACCGGGUUGGUACCCGUUACUAAAACCAAGUCCUAACAAUUAUAGACGUAUGAUUGUUGCGACUUACCGAGAUAAUUUUCGCGAGAAAAUUACAAACUAAGGUGGUACCACGGGUGAAUGCUCGUCCUUUGC
rnacentral:ncRNA from 1 species